rnacentral:rRNA from 1 species
UACGAAGGGGGCUAGCGUUGCUCGGAAUCACUGGGCGUAAAGCGCACGUAGGCGGAUUGCUAAGUCAGGGGUGAAAUCCUGGAGCUCAACUCCAGAACUGCCUUUGAUACUGGCGAUCUUGAGUCCGGGAGAGGUGAGUGGAACUGCGAGUGUAGAGGUGAAAUUCGUAGAUAUUCGCAAGAACACCAGUGGCGAAGGCGGCUCACUGGCUCGGUACUGACGCUGAGGUGACGAAAGCGUGGGGAGCAAACAGG